rnacentral:rRNA from 1 species
AGAGUUUGAUCCUGGCUCAGAUUGAACGCUGGCGGCAGGCCUAACACAUGCAAGUCGAGCGGUAGCACAGAGAGCUUGCUCUCGGGUGACGAGCGGCGGACGGGUGAGUAAUGUCUGGGAAACUGCCUGAUGGAGGGGGAUAACUACUGGAAACGGUAGCUAAUACCGCAUAACGUCGCAAGACCAAAGAGGGGGACCUUCGGGCCUCUUGCCAUCAGAUGUGCCCAGAUGGGAUUAGCUAGUAGGUGGGGUAACGGCUCACCUAGGCGACGAUCCCUAGCUGGUCUGAGAGGAUGACCAGCCACACUGGAACUGAGACACGGUCCAGACUCCUACGGGAGGCAGCAGUGGGGAAUAUUGCACAAUGGGCGCAAGCCUGAUGCAGCCAUGCCGCGUGUAUGAAGAAGGCCUUCGGGUUGUAAAGUACUUUCAGCGGGGAGGAAGGCGAUAAGGUUAAU